rnacentral:piRNA from 1 species
CUUAACCGUUUGAAAAGUGC